rnacentral:misc_RNA from 1 species
GAUGAAGAACGUAGUGAAAUGCGAUAAGUAAUGUGAAUUGCAGAAUUCAGUGAAUCAUCGAAUCUUUGAACGCACAUUGCGCCCGCCAGUAUUCUGGCGGGCAUGCCUGUUCGAGCGUCAUUUCAACCAUCAAGCCCCAGGCUUGUGUUGGGGGCCUGCAGCUGCUGCAGCCCCCUAAAAGCAGUGGCGGACUCGCUGUCAUACCGAGCGCAGUAGUUACAUCUCGCUCUGGGCAUGGCGGCGGGCACCUGCCGUAAAACACUCUUUCUAAGGUUGACCUCGGAUCAGGUAGGAAUACCCGCUGAACUUAAGCAUAUCAAUAAGCGGAGGA